rnacentral:rRNA from 1 species
GACGAACGCUGGCGGCGUGCUUAACACAUGCAAGUCGAACGGUGAACCUCUUCGGAGGGGAUCAGUGGCGAACGGGUGAGUAACACGUGGGCAACCUGCCCCCGGCUCUGGGAUAACUCCAAGAAAUUGGGGCUAAUACCGGAUGUUCACCGCUUCCCGCAUGGGUGGUGGUGGAAAGGGUUUCCGGCUGGGGAUGGGCCCGCGGCCUAUCAGCUUGUUGGUGGGGUAGUGGCCUACCAAGGCGACGACGGGUAGCCGGCCUGAGAGGGUGACCGGCCACACUGGGACUGAGACACGGCCCAGACUCCUACGGGAGGCAGCAGUGGGGAAUAUUGCGCAAUGGGCGGAAGCCUGACGCAGCGACGCCGCGUGGGGGAUGACGGCCUUCGGGAUGUAAACCUCUUUCAGCAGGGACGAAGCGCAAGUGACGGUACCUGCAGAAGAAGCACCGGCCAACUACG